rnacentral:lncRNA from 1 species
AGGGUGGAGAUGGGAUUGGAUCCAAUAAUUGUCAGGUGAGAAUUUCAAUGAUGACUUCACUUUCGUAAGAAUGAUGGAUUUGACUUAACUAAGAAAUAAGGCUAAUAACUGUUAGAUGAGGUUUUAGGACUUAAAGAUCAAUGAUCACUGUAAUUUACUUAAAAAGUAUUAGAUAAGAGUUGUCCACUUAUUGAUUGACACAUCAUCAAUAACUAUUAAGUGAGAUGGUGUGCUA